rnacentral:rRNA from 1 species
CCUUAGGGUUGUAAAGCUCUUUUCUCCGGGACGAUAAUGACGGUACCGGAGGAAUAAGCCCCGGCUAACUUCGUGCCAGCAGCCGCGGUAAUACGAAGGGGGCUAGCGUUGCUCGGAAUCACUGGGCGUAAAGGGCGCGUAGGCGGCUGAUUUAGUCGAGGGUGAAAGCCCGUGGCUCAACCACGGAAUGGCCUUCGAUACUGGUUGGCUUGAGACCGGAAGAGGACAGCGGAACUGCGAGUGUAGAGGUGAAAUUCGUAGAUAUUCGCAAGAACACCAGUGGCGAAGGCGGCUGUCUGGUCCGGUUCUGACGCUGAGGCGCGAAAGCGUGGGGAGCAAACAGGAUUAGAUACCCUGGUAGUCCACGCUGUAAACGAUGAAUGCUAGCCGUUGGGGUGCAUGCACCUCAGUGGCGCCGCUAACGCAUUAAGCAUUCCGCCUGGGGAGUACGGUCGC